rnacentral:lncRNA from 1 species
AGGGAACAUAGUAGUUGCACCGUGAGUCGCGAUUACUACCUUGUAAAAUUCGUGCGUUCGAAGCUAUGGAGACGUCGUUUGACUCUAGCUGAAGUAUAAAAAUCUUAUCUUCAAGGAAGGAGUCACGAAAAAGGGCCUUUUGAAACAACCAUGGAUGACAUUAAACAACAAUCAAUCAGUAAGGAAAAAUCAGCAUGGGCGCAAUCAAUUUUCCUUUUAUUUUUUGCUUUCUUUCAAUUAUCUAUCUAGAGGCAGUCUGAAAAGUGGGUGUAAUAUACAUGAAGUAUUAAUUAUGAUAUGAUGUUGCAUUUUGUACGAAGAAUUCAUAUUUUUCUAUCUCUGUUUUAGUCCUAUUGCUCUUACAUUUGCAGACAUUCAAUUAGAUGACGAUCUCGACUUCAUUGACUCUGAUCACGAUGUGUACGAUGAUGACGAUAUGUUGUUUGAUUUUAACGUCACUGCAGGCAUAGAAAUGGGUAUGCAUAGCUCAAUUCAGGAAGUAGUAUCCUGAAAAUAUGAUAGUCUGUCAAACGCUUCUUCUGAAGAGCUAAAAAUUGGAAGUGGUUCGGACUCGGAUGAGAAAAUUGGUACACUUUAUUUCCCUGAAUAUUUUCCUCAAUCUCAAAAGAGAAAUCCUAAAUUUGAACUAGGGUUAUUGUUUGGGUCUUUUGAGGAAUUGAAAUCUGCUGUUAGAAAUGACGCCAUCUUCAAUGGGGUUGAACUAAUUUUCAAGCGAAAUGAUAAGGAUAGAGUGCAUUGUGUUUGUAAGGAUGGUUAUCCUUAGAAUUUGUGGGCGUCUAAGGUGCAAGGUCAGGACACAGUCCAAAUUAAAAAACUAUUAUCCUAAACAUACUUGCUUGAAGGUACGUACAAAUAAGUAUGUAACAUAUAAGUGGCUUGCUAAUUAUUACUUAGAGGAUUUUAGAGUCAAUCCUCAAUGGAAGAUGAAACAUUUCAGAUGCAGAGUUAGAAACAAUUUCGGAGUUCAUAUAAUAAAGACAGUAGCAUGAAAUGCUAGAAAAUAUGCAAAAGUUUUAGGAGAAGGGAAUGACACCAAAGAAUUUUCAUUAUUGGGUUCUUAUGCUGAAGAAUUGAGGAAAACAAAUCCUAGUUCUACUGUGAUCAUUUCUCAUGCGGGAAAUAUGUCCAGAGGUAUUUAUGUUUCCAUAGAGGCAUUGAAAAAAGGUUUUCUUCAAGGAUGCAGGCAUUUUAUUUGUGUUGAUGGAUGUUUUCUGAAAGGUAAAUAUAGUAGGCAACUUCAAGCAGCAGUUGGUGUAGACGCCAACGAUUGUAUAUAUCCAGUUGCUUAUGCAGUCGUUGAAAAAGAGAACACUAGUUCGUGGAGAUGGUUGUUCGCGAAAUUAUUUGUUUCGAA